AUAAGUUUAGUGUAAUUAAGCAUAUAAGACUUUCUAUUUUAUAGUAAUUUUAAUAAAAAUUAACUUAUA
rnacentral:tRNA from 1 species